AUUUAACUCUUUCUUCAUUCCUAACACAUUCAAGUCUAACGAGUGGCGGACGGGUUAGUAAUGUCUGGGAAACUGCCUGAUGGAGGGGGAUAACUACUGGAAACGGUAGCUAAUACCGCAUACCAUCGGAUGUGCCCAGAUGGGAUUAGCUAGUAGGUGGGGUAAAGGCUCACCUCGGCGACGAUCCCUAGCUGGUCUGAGAGGAUGACCAGCCACACUGGAACGGAGACACGGUCCAGACUCCUACGGGAGGCAGUAGUGGGGAAUAUUGCACAAUGGGCGCAAGCCUGAUGCAGCCAUGCCGCGUGUAUGAAGAAGGCCUUCGGGUUGUAAAGUACGUUCAGCGGGGAGGCGUUACCCGCAGAAGAAGCACCGGCUAACUCCGUGCCAGCAGCCGCGGUAAUUC
rnacentral:rRNA from 1 species